UGGGGAAUAUUGGACAAUGGGCGAAAGCCUGAUCCAGCCAUGCCGCGUGUGUGAAGAAGGUCUUCGGAUUGUAAAGCUCUUUCGGCGGGGACGAAACGGUCCGUGACAACACCACGGACUAAUGACAGUACUCGCAGAAGAAGCACCGGCUAACUACGUGCCAGCAGCCGCGGUAAUACGUAGGGUGCAGGCGUUAAUCGGAAUUACUGGGCGUAAAGCGUGCGCAGGCGGCUCCUUAAGUCAGAUGUGAAAUCCCCGGGCUUAACCUGGGAACUGCGUUUGAAACUGAGGGGCUAGAGUGUGGAAGAGGGGGGUGGAAUUCCAGGUGUAGCAGUGAAAUGCGUAGAGAUCUGGAGGAACACCGAUGGCGAAGGCAGCCCCCUGGGCUAACACUGACGCUCAUGCACGAAAGCGUGGGGAGCAAACAGGAUUAGAUACCCGUGUAGUCCCUGAGCGGGCUGGCAAGGCGCAU
rnacentral:rRNA from 1 species